rnacentral:lncRNA from 1 species
UUUUUCUUUCUUUUUUUUUCUUUUUCUUUUUUUAUUUUUUUAACAUUACUUUCUGCUUUCUUUCACAACAGAGAAACAGUUUGAAUUUGCUGAAACCUUUCUGCAGCCCUUGAAUUGUGGAGCAAUUACCCUGACAGUUGUUUGCGUAGGAACAAGCACGGUGACAGCACAGCAAGCCUGUGAAACAAGCCCAGCACAGGACUCAGGGUGUUCUGCCAAAGGUCAUAGCCCGAGCGUUCAGAAAUGUCAAGUAGGACAUGGCAGUCCCUUGAUUCCAAGCAGCUCCAUGCUUGGUCCACACCCUUCUCAGGGGUCCCGCUGCCUGAUGAAGUGAGGCCUGAGCAAGAUGUACAGAAAGGCUACCCGGGGAUGUCCAGUUUGCUACUUGAACUGCGGAGGGGCCUUGGAGAAAGCAUGAUCAAGAAGAGCCUGUGUGUGUGUGAUCUGCAGGGAAUGAAGAUGGACAGGACAGAAGUAAGGCAACUGUGGCAACAGACACAAUAGGCUAGCCUCUAUAUACACCCAGACAGCGUAUGUUAACCUCUCCUACAGCCAGAAUAAUUUAAAAGCAGAAGUUCUCUAUAUGCCUACUAUAAAAAAUGGCAUUAUUUCUCCUUUUCUUCCUGCAGGGAAAUAGGGGGGGGUACAAGACAAAAGAAAAUCUUGUGGACUAAUAUUUCAGAAUCUCCACAAGUUCAGGCAUAUAUAGUUACAUCUAUUAACCAAUUGCAUCCAUUAAAACUGUUACACUAAUUACAGCAGUACUUUCAAGACUUUUGGCAAUGAUAAUGGGUAGGAAUUUAAGAACAUGAAGCGAGGUUUUAAUAUAAUUUUCCAGGACCUCUGGUCCUAUAAGUGGG